UCCCAGACUCCUACGGGAGGCAGCAGUGGGGAAUAUUGGGCAAUGGAGGAAACUCUUACCCAGCAAUGCCGCGUGAAUGAAGAAGGUCUUCGGAUUGUAAAGUUCUUUAAUUGGGGACGAAAAAAAUGACGGUACCCAAGGAAUAAGCCCCGGCUAACUACGUGCCAGCAGCCGCGGUAAUACGUAGGGGGCAAGCGUUGUUCGGAAUGACUGGGCGUAAAGGGUGCGUAGGCGGUUGUACAAGUUAGAAGUGAAAUACCCAGGGCUUAACUCGGGUGCUGCUUCUAAAACUGUAUGACUUGAGUGCAGUAGAGGUUAGUGGAAUUCCUAGUGUAGCGGUGGAAUGCGUAGAUAUUAGGAGGAACACCAGUGGCGAAGGCGGCCUGCUGGACGACAACUGACGGUGAGGCGCGAAAGCGUGGGGAGCAAACAGGAUUAGAUACCCUAGUAGC
rnacentral:rRNA from 1 species